rfam:Lasius niger Lnig_2.1_29027, whole genome shotgun sequence.
CCAAAUAGUCCAUUAUUUGAGCUCAUACGGCGUGCAUUCGAAGUAAUUCUUUUGUGCGAAGCCCGUAAAAUAUAUAGUUUAUAACUAUCCAACCUUUUACCCUUCAGGCCAAGAGGAGUAAGUAUAAAGUAU